UGUCCCGGGGCGCCUCGCGGAGACGGGGUGACUGGGCGCGAGUUCUCAGCCUGGGAUUCCAGGGAAACCCUAAGCCACUCCAGAGAGAAAUAAAAGGAAUGGCCCUGGCAUCUCACACCCUGUGUUUUCUUUUGCUGCUGCCCCUGCUGGGACCAGCCUGGAAGACUGUGGGCUCUGCUGCUCAUUCUCUUUGCCUCAACCUCACUGUCACAUCUCACUCCCCACCUGGGCAGCCCUGGUGUGCAGCCCAGGGCUCAGUGGAUGGAAACCCUUUCAUUCAGCACGACUGUGACAGCCACAAGGUCAUGCCUCUGGGUCCCCUGGGGGAGAAGGUAAAGGCCACCGAGACAUGGACACACUUGACCCAGACACUGGGAGAAGUGGGGAGAGAGCUCAGCAUGAUCCUGCCUGACAUCAGACUGGAGAAAAACUGGAA